rnacentral:rRNA from 1 species
UACGAAGGGGGCUAGCGUUGUUCGGAUUUACUGGGCGUAAAGCGCACGUAGGCGGGUCGUUUAAGUCAGGGGUGAAAUCCCGGAGCUCAACUCCGGAACUGCCUUUGAUACUGGCGACCUCGAGGCCGGAAGAGGUUAGUGGAAUUCCCAGUGUAGAGGUGAAAUUCGUAGAUAUUGGGAAGAACACCAGUGGCGAAGGCGGCUAACUGGUCCGGUACUGACGCUGAGGUGCGAAAGCGUGGGGAGCAAACAGG